rnacentral:rRNA from 1 species
GGGGAAUUUUGGACAAUGGGCGCAAGCCUGAUCCAGCCAUGCCGCGUGUCUGAAGAAGGCCUUCGGGUUGUAAAGGACUUUUGUUAGGGAAGAAAAGGAUAGUGUUAAUACCAUUAUCUGCUGACGGUACCUAAAGAAUAAGCACCGGCUAACUACGUGCCAGCAGCCGCGGUAAUACGUAGGGUGCGAGCGUUAAUCGGAAUUACUGGGCGUAAAGCGAGCGCAGACGGUUUAUUAAGCAAGAUGUGAAAUCCCCGAGCUUAACUUGGGAACUGCGUUUUGAACUGGUAAGCUAGAGUAUGUCAGAGGGGGGUAGAAUUCCACGUGUAGCAGUGAAAUGCGUAGAGAUGUGGAGGAAUACCGAUGGCGAAGGCAGCCCCCUGGGAUAAUACUGACGUUCAUGCUCGAAAGCGUGGGUAGCAAACAGGAUUAGAUACCCUGGUAGUCCACGCCCUAAACGAUGUCAAUUAGCUGUUGGGGCACUUGAUGCCUUAGUAGCGAAGCUAACGCGUGAAAUUGACCGCCUGGGGAGUACGGUCGCAAGAUUA